rnacentral:rRNA from 1 species
CGGGUGAGUAAUGCUUGGGAAUCUAGCUUAUGGAGGGGGAUAACUACGGGAAACUGUAGCUAAUACCGCGUAGUAUCGAGAGAUGAAAGUGUGGGACCUUCGGGCCACAUGCCAUAGGAUGAGCCCAAGUGGGAUUAGGUAGUUGGUGAGGUAAAGGCUCACCAAGCCGACGAUCUCUAGCUGGUCUGAGAGGAUGACCAGCCACACUGGGACUGAGACACGGCCCAG